AUGCGAGGACCCGCAUCUGCGGUCUCCGCGGCCGGUUUGGAUGAGCAGUGGAACAUCGUGUUCCGCCGUUCAUUUGGGUCGGAGGAGGUGCGAGAAUGGGUGAGUUUGAGGGUAGUCCCUCGAGAGUUGUCCCAGUCUCCUGACAGCAUUUCCUGGAGACUCUCUCCUUCGGGAGAAUUCUCCAUUAGCUCUGCAUACCAGGCGCUCUGCCGCCAGCCGGUCAUACAGUGGUUAUCCCCAUUGUGGAAGGCGCCGAUGCCCCUCAAGAUCAAGAUUUUUGUUUGGCAGCUUUUGCGUGAUCGCUUACCCUCUAGGACAGAGAUUCUUAAGCGACACGGUCCGGGCGAUGGCAUAUGCCCUCUAUUUAAUGUCCCAGAGACGGGAACCCACAUUGUGUUUUCUUGCACCGCGGCACAGGCUCUCUCGAGCUUUGUCCGCGAGUCCCUCGGGCCGGAUUGGGAGGCAUGGGACCUUGCAGAGUUCCGGCAAUCCAGGGCCACCCAGGUGGGCCGCAAGCGCCCCCUAUUCCUGCUUAUCUUUGCGGCAAUGGUGUGGACCCUUUGGAUGACUGACGAUAAAAUGGUGAUUAAGCGGAUCUUCCCGCGGCAAGCUUUUGACUCGUUCUUCAAAUUUCUUGCCUUCUUGCAGCACUGGCAUCCGCUCGCUAGACAGCGGGACCGCGACCGACUUGGGCUUCUCAUGGACGCACUCCUAGCUUUCGCGCGCCGGCUUUCCGCCCAUACGACGGCUUCUUAG
rnacentral:rRNA from 1 species